rnacentral:rRNA from 1 species
UUGUCCGGAAUAGUUGGGCGUAAAGGGCGCGUAGGCGGCCUGCUAAGUCUGGAGUGAAAGUCCUGCUUUCAAGGUGGGAAUUGCUUUGGAUACUGGUGGGCUGGAGUGCAGGAGAGGAAAGCGGAAUUACCGGUGUAGCGGUGAAAUGCGUAGAGAUCGGUAGGAACACCAGUGGCGAAGGCGGCUUUCUGGACUGAAACCGACGCUGAGGCGCGAAAGCGUGGGGAGCAAACAGGAUUAGAUACCCUGGUAGUCCACGCGGUAAACGAUGAAUGCUAGGUGUAGGAGGUAUCGACCCCUUCUGUGCCGCAGUAAACACAAUAAGCAUUCCGCCUGGGGAGUACGGCCGCAAGGUUGAAACUCAA